rnacentral:rRNA from 1 species
GAUGAACGCUAGCUACAGGCUUAACACAUGCAAGUCGAGGGGAAACGACAUCGAAAGCUUGCUUUUGAUGGGCGUCGACCGGCGCACGGGAGAGUAACGCGUAUCCAACCUGCCCACCACCUGGGGAUAACCUUGCGAAAGUAAGACUAAUACCCAAUGAUAUCUCUAGAAGACAUCUGAAAGAGAUUAAAGAUUUAUCGGUGAUGGAUGGGGAUGCGUCUGAUUAGCUUGUUGGCGGGGUAACGGCCCACCAAGGCGACGAUCAGUAGGGGUUCUGAGAGGAAGGUCCCCCACAUUGGAACUGAGACACGGUCCAAACUCCUACGGGAGGCAGCAGUGAGGAAUAUUGGUCAAUGGGCGAGAGCCUGAACCAGCCAAGUAGCGUGCAGGAUGACGGCCCUAUGGGUUGUAAACUGCUUUUAUAAGGGAAUAAAGUGAGUCUCGUGAGACUUUUUGCAUGUACCUUAUGAAUAAGGACCGGCUAAUUCCGUGCCAGCAGCCGCAGUAA